rnacentral:rRNA from 1 species
AAUGAACGCUGGCGGCAGGCCUAACACAUGCAAGUCGAACGGAUCCUUCGGGAUUAGUGGCGGACGGGUGAGUAACGCGUGGGAACAUACCCUUUGGUACGGAAUAGCCUCGGGAAACUGGGAAUAAUACCGUAUGUGGUCGAGAGACGAAAGAUUUAUCGCCAAAGGAUUGGCCCGCGUUGGAUUAGGUAGUUGGUGGGGUAAUGGCCUACCAAGCCGACGAUCCAUAGCUGGUUUGAGAGGAUGAUCAGCCACACUGGGACUGAGACACGGCCCAGACUCCUACGGGAGGCAGCAGUGGGGAAUCUUAGACCAUGGGGGAAACCCUGAUCUAGCCAUGCCGCGUGAUCGAUGAAGGCCUUAGGGUUGUAAAGAUCUUUCAGGUGGGAAGAUAGUGACUGUACCACCUGAAGAAGCCCCGGCUAACUCCGUGCCAGCCGCCGCCGUAA